rnacentral:rRNA from 1 species
AUUGAACGCUGGCGGCAGGCCUAACACAUGCAAGUCGAACGGUAACAGGAAGCAGCUUGCUGCUUUGCUGACGAGUGGCGGACGGGUGAGUAAUGUCUGGGAAACUGCCCGAUGGAGGGGGAUAACUACUGGAAACGGUAGCUAAUACCGCAUAACGUCGCAAGACCAAAGAGGGGGACCUUAGGGCCUCUUGCCAUCGGAUGUGCCCAGAUGGGAUUAGCUAGUAGGUGGGGUAACGGCUCACCUAGGCGACGAUCCCUAGCUGGUCUGAGAGGAUGACCAGCCACACUUGAACUGAGACACGGUCCAGACUCCUACGGGAGGCAGCAGUGGGGAAUAUUGCACAAUGGGCGCAAGCCUGAUGCAGCCAUGCCGCGUGUAUGAAGAAGGCCUUCGGGUUGUAAAGUACUUUCAGCGGGGAGGAAGGGAGUAAAGUUAAUACCUUUGCUCAUUGACGUUACCCGCAGAAGAAGCACCGGCUAACUCCGUG